CGGGCUAAACCCGCGUACAUGCCACCGGGGCAUCCCGGAGGCAGGAAAGGCUUCGGCCGGACAGGGAUGGGCAUGCGGCGCAUUAGGCAGUAGGCGGGGUAACGGCCCACCUAACCGACGAUGCGUAGGGGUUCUGAGAGGAAGGUCCCCCACACUGGUACUGAGACACGGACCAGACUCCUACGGGAGGCAGCAGUGAGGAAUAUUGGUCAAUGGUCGGGAGACUGAACCAGCCAAGCCGCGUGAGGGAUGAAGGUACAGAGUAUCGUAAACCUCUUUUGUCAGGGAACAAAGGCGGGGACGUGUCCCCGGAUGAGUGUACCUGAAGAAAAAGCAUCGGCUAACUCCGUGCCAGCAGCCGCGGUAAUACGGAGGAUGCGAGCGUUAUCCGGAUUUAUUGGGUUUAAAGGGUGCGCAGGCGGUCUGUUAAGUCAGCGGUCAAAGCCCGGGGCUCAACCCCGGCCCGCCGUUGAAACUGGCAGUCUCGAGUUGGAGAGAAGUAUGCGGAAUGCGCGGUGUAGCGGUGAAAUGCAUAGAUAUCGCGCAGAACUCCGAUUGCGAAGGCAGCAUGCCGGCUCCACACUGACGCUGAGGCACGAAAGCGUGGGUAUCGAACAGGAUUAGAUACCCUGGUAGUCCACGCAGUAAACGA
rnacentral:rRNA from 1 species